CAAAUGCUCCCUCCAUCCGGAAAUACUUGUCAUCAAAAUGGAUAAAAGGAAAUGUAUCUAGAUGUAUUUUAGUUUUAGAUACAUCUCUUUUUAUCCAUUUUGAUGACAAGUAUUUUCGGACGGAGGGAGUAGAAA
rfam:Triticum aestivum genome assembly, contig: Triticum_aestivum_CS42_TGACv1_scaffold_095709_2AL